UCAUUCUAUGCGCAUAAGAACAAACUGAAUCGUGAAGAACAUCGUUGACGGAGGCAUAAUUUAAUUUCAAAGUGGAAGCGAAUGCAAACUGACGAGGAAUCGCACACUAAUUCGAUAAUCGAUGUGCUAUUAUUCAAAUCGCUUAAUCAGGAGAUUACAGAGCUAUCCACUUAUAAACUGCAUCCUGGCAUCGCCGAAGAAAGUGGUGGUCGUCCAAAGUGUCAGCAGUGCGGAUUGGUAUGGAAGAGCAUGGAGUCGGCGGCAGCGGCGUCCGAGGCUCAGGCCGGGUUGGGAUAACCGAGCAAAGCAAAACCGACGGAGAAGCGAAAAAUAACGACUGUAUAAUCGAAGAUAAUUACACAUAAAUUUCAGUUUCGCCUGACGUUUCCCUCGUCGUGCGGGUGAUUAAUGUUUUUGAAGAGUAACUUAGCUGGCUGUGUGCGCGCCGCGGGAAUCAUCCAAGCAGGCGUGCGCGUGUGUGUGUGCGUGUGUGUGUGCGUGUGAUUCGGCGCACCAGCAGUGCAUGUGGUCGUCGGAGCCAACUUGGUUUGCGUUUGGGAGACAGGAUAUUGCCGGAGCAACCAGGCAGGCAACCUCAAUAACGACAAACGGCGACACGUCGCACACCACACUCUGUGGGCUUUGGGCGCGAGAUUUAUGCGAACAGUGGCGGAAGAAGACAGCACGAGGGAGCAAACCCAACGCGCCCAGGCCUGCUACGAACGACUGAACGGAGGGUGGGUGAGGAGACAAAGUGGAAAACAAAUGUGCGAAGCGGAAACGCCAACAGAGAACAGAGAGCGGAAUUUACACCGACAACAUGACAAACAACGUCGGAAAGCAACGACGCCAUUCUCUUGGCACGGGUGCUAAUUGAAAGACUCGGUAAUUAACUAAUAAAUAAAGGAAAAACGGGAAUAAAUUUACACUGCACUUUUUCUUCAUCUUUGUUAUAAAAUCAUUUAUUUCUGCUUUCUUCAUUUCGUACACUUAAUGAUAAUUAAUAGUUUCCUUCUGCGGCUUGCUACGUUAAUUUAUAUUCCCAUUUUGCUUCUAGAAUUUAAACUGCAUGGUACAGAUUUUUUCUGUAGUUUGAAUAUUUGAAAUUUCCUAUCUUUUGAACCUUCACAUCUUUUCUGUUGAGAAUAAUUUGUAAUUUUUAACAAGCAUAAACAAAAAAUAUAA